GCAGAAGGAGGAAGUUUCAAAAUGUAUAUAUGGGGACUUGCUGAGGCAGCCUGGCAUUGCCUAUUCUGCCUUUGGAAGACGACUGCUGUGGUUAGGGUGUGGAAUUCAAACUGCUGUUGCCUGCUCACAGAGGAUUCUUGAUGAAAUCAUUCUGCUGAAUCACUGACUCUGAGCUUAGAUCACUGCAGCACACUGCCUGGGUGCCUGGCCUGCUGUGCCAGGUCUGUCAUGUGGACUGCUGGAGAGAUAGAGCCUAUGCAUAUCUGUCUUGCCGCUGCCCCCUCACAGCAGUAACAACUGCUGUUUCAUGUUAAAAAUAACAAGUGAGUUAACUAGGUGUUGUGGUUUUUUAUAUUUUCCUUUUCUGCUGGCUUUCCCCCAGCCCAGCUUUUUAUUUUCUGAUUGUUUGGGGCGGCUGGGUGCCUGCUUUGUGGUGCCCAGCUACAUCCUCCUCUCCCCGGCUGUCAAGUGCCAGUUUGUGCUGCUUGGCCUGAUUGUUGGCAACUCCUGGUCAGACUCCUGCUGAAGACUGGCGAAAGGAGAAGACUUCAGAUUGCCUUUAAAACUGAAUAUUACAAAGCCAAAUCUUGAGACUCAAGAGAGGGACUUCAUUUGUGCCUACAGCUGAUGUCUGACCUUUGCUCACUGGAAUUGGAAAGUAACUGCUCCCCCUCAGAUCAUCAUCAUCAUCAUCCACUUUAUUACGGCCAAUGGUCAAAGUAUCCCAUUAGAUCAAGAACCCAUUGGUGGGGUAAAAUGUUUGUUAUAAACUGGACUGUUAGAAUGAAAUAAUGUAUGUACAAUAUUGUAUUUAUAACUUUAUGUAAUACUUUAUUAUUUACUAUUUACAUAUUUAUGAUUCUGUAUUUGAAGUUUAUAUAUUCAUAGAUCGUAUACAACUAUUUAUAUAUUACAUAAUGCCUAAUACUGAAUAGUGUGUGUGUGUGUGUGUGUGUGUGUGUGUGUGUGUGUGUGUGUGUAAAUAA